rnacentral:rRNA from 1 species
UACGGAGGGGGCCAGCGUUGUUCGGAAUCAUUGGGCGUAAAGGGCGCGUAGGCGGCUGACCAAGUCGGACGUGAAAUCCCUCGGCUCAACUGGGGAAUUGCGUCCGAUACUGUUCAGCUUGAGUCCCGGAGAGGGUAGUGGAAUUCCCAGUGUAGCGGUGAAAUGCGUAGAUACUGGGAGGAACACCGGUGGCGAAGGCGGCUACCUGGACGGGUACUGACGCUGAGGCGCGAAAGCUAGGGGAGCAAACAGG